rnacentral:rRNA from 1 species
GGAAGUAAAAGUCGUAACAAGGUUUCCGUAGGUGAACCUGCGGAAGGAUCAUUAACGAACAAAGGAUUCUUUAUGAAUCUUUUGGGAUCAACCAAAACCAGUAAGAUAAUGGUAUUUAAUCAUUGUAUUGAAUACGCUUUAUAAUAAAUAUUACAAAACUUUCAACAACGGAUCUCUUGGCUCUUGCAUCGAUGGAGAACGCAGCGAAUUGCGAUAAGUAGUGUGAAUUGCAGAAUUCCGUGAAUCAUCGAAUCUUUGAACGCAUAUUGCACUCUUUGGUAUUCCGAAGAGUAUGCCUGUUUGAGGGUCAUUUGAAAAUUAAUCCAGACAUUUUUUGUCUUGGGAAUGAUGAGUUUUCCGUUAUCAAUCUUUACGACUGGUGAUGGUCACUNGAAAUUAAUGCUAUGUCUUGGCUUGUAACAGACGCGUUUAUUUUUAAUAUAAAUGUUCGCAACUAAUCAAGUCUCGUGUUCUAGCCUGUUCAAUUUCAACCUUUUAAAAGAGGAUGAAAUCAAACAAAAUAACCUUAUAAUCGUGACCUCAAAUCAAGUAAGAGUACCCGCUGAACUUAAGCAUAUCAAUAAGCGGAGGA